rnacentral:misc_RNA from 1 species
GUGAAGAACGCAGCGAAAUGCGAUAAGUAAUGUGAAUUGCAGAAUUCAGUGAAUCAUCGAAUCUUUGAACGCACAUUGCGCCCUCUGGUAUUCCGGGGGGCAUGCCUGUUCGAGCGUCAUUAUAACCACUCAAGCUCUCGCUUGGUAUUGGAGUUCGCGAUCCCGCGGCUCCUAAAAUCAGUGGCGGUGCCUGUCGGCUCUACGCGUAGUAAUACUCCUCGCGAUUGAGUCCGGUAGGUUUACUUGCCAGCAACCCCCAAUUUUUACAGGUUGACCUCGGAUCAGGUAGGGAUACCCGCUGAACUUAAGCAUAUCAAUAAGCGGAGGA